rnacentral:lncRNA from 1 species
UUAAAGAUUCGACCAAAUUCUAACAAUAACUAAAACUAAAAUGUGUGGAUCCACUACCAAAUAAGUUCAAUCCUAACAUUCAAAUGAGUUAACACUUGUAUUAAAAUUAUCAUCCGAAGAUAAUCAAAAUGCUAAGUACAAUAGUUCUAUAUAAAGUCAAAAGAAAAUAAAAAUGACAAAAAACUACCACAAACCAAAAAAAACUCAAGUCUUUGCCCUUGUAAAGCUGAGCUACCUCGUGAUACUUUGACUUGAAUGGGUACUCUUACGACUUCUUUUGUGCUUCUUGCUCGAAAUUAGACUUGAUGCUGAAUCAACAUCUUGCAUGGCUAACCAAAACAGGUCAUACACUAUGUACUCGUGGCUGACAGAAGCUAGACUCCUGCAAUAUUCAAGACAUGCAGAUCAGCAAAGACUUGAAAUAAUAUCACUUAAUCAGUGAUAAAAAAAAUUAAGAGAACAAAUACGAGUAGUACCUUUAGGCAACUAAACCAUGACAAAAAUAUAGGGCAAUAUCUAGUCAAGGUAGGAAACCAAUAAUUGAAUAGUCAUGCGGAGAUAUGAUACACAGGAAAGCUUAUAACUAAUACAUAAACUGGUUACAUGUAAAUUUGUGAAGAAUAUGCGAGUUAUGUCCCAGCAUGAUCUAAUAGCCUAAUAGAGUAAUUACAGAAGAAUAAAUCUUAAGGAUAACUUAAAAAGGAAAAAAAAGAAAAAGAAAAAGAAAAAAAAGACCUGAAAGCCUUUGACUUAAUCCUCAUGAUCACUAGAAUGCAUAUCCAAUGCAUAUCAAGUUAACUGUAUGCUAAAAAUAUUCCACUCCACAGGAUGAUGAUAAAAUAAUAAUGUGCUGUAAGUAAUACGACGGAUUACCUUUCCCACUAUCUCCAAUAAAACAGCAACAGCAGGCUCUUGUAAGUACCGUUUCUUAGCUGCAAGAUCAAUAAGACAUUUGUUAAAUUCUUUGAUGAGUGCACUACUAUUAUCUGAUAUCCAUUCUUCAGUAAGCUUUCCCGAUCUUGCAAGAGCUCCAUAUGCAAAUAAACGGCCCAGUAAGCAGUCUUUAACCUCCUAUAAAUAAAAGGCUCUACAUAAAUAAAAUAUAAAUCUCAAUUACAGACUUCAUGAGAAGGGACCAAUACUCACCUGACCCCCUUCAUGGAAGAAGAGACCUCCAGCAAAGUUGUAAUUAGCUUUAAUAAGGACUCUAAUUUAAUGCUAUGAACCAUGCCAACUAACAUUGUAAGACCAAGUGCAAACCCUUGUCUAGCACACUGCAACAGAAGAGUAUAGGAAAAGUGAAGAACAUAUAGUAUAUAGGACGCUAAUAAGAAAGCGUAUUUGAAGAGGUGAAGCCUAAAUAUACGAACACAAAAUCUUCAUUGGGCCAUAUGAAACAUGUCUCUUCAUUCAUAACUAAGUUAAAGUAGCAAUAAAGUAACUCUCCAAGAACAUUCUUGGCAACUUUCUCUGCAUAUUCAGAUAUGGUGUUACUGGGGUUUCUAGUGCCAGUUGGAUAUGAAACAUUAAUAAGCAAAAAACAAUUAUAAAUUAUCAAAUCUCCAAGUCCCAAACCUGCUCCAAUAAUUAUAGUUAAAUCUGCAUCACAUCAAAAGGUUUUCGAGUCUUAGUCAAUCGAUAUAACACCUCUAAGGCCAACUUAAACCACAAAACAAAAGAAUAAAUGAUGGCUUAUCUGACAUAAGUAUGUUCAAGAUAAUCUCUUACUAUUACCAGAUAAUCUUAACCCAUCAAUGCUCACAAUUUCAAUAUUCACAACCACACUAAUGAGUAUUUGGUUAACUACGUUACGCAUCCUAGUCUUUGAUAAAUCGUUAAAUGGCAGAAAAUCAAUUAAGGAGAAAACCGAAAAAUAAUAUACGGAAUGGCAAAAUGAUUCAAUUUUAACAUGAAGUUUUUGCACAAUUUAAAAUGCAAAAACCUGAAACAACAAACAUCAGAUACCAAAGUAGGAAGUCCAUUCAACCAUCCACUGAAUAUAAAUUCCAAACAAAAGCAAAAUCUUUCUUCUUCAAGCUAAAUCAAAACAAGGAUGAGCAAUGGAUUAAUGAAUCACGAAAAACAACAGGAAUCAACAACAAUUACAAAUUGAGUAGGAUGAAAUAAUACCUCGGAAGUGAAUAGUUAGAAUUGCGGAGAGACGACGAGCUGAAGUCAGAGUGGAGCAGCAUGCUGAAUCCGAAGGAGCAAGAGUGCUAAGAGGAACUGAAUCGAACUCGAGCUAGGGCUGGCCACAUCCAGCGUCUCUCUCUCUCUCUCUCUCAGAAAUCUCUCUUCUCUCUCCCAAGCCGCCGACCACCUCCAGCAAGACCGGCGGCGCUUCGCCAGCGGUUCUUCACCCCCACCAUCAUCUGCAUCUGUCGACUCUCCCUCUCAACAUCUCGCCCGACUCUCUCGGUCUCCAUCUCCUCUCUCGCCAUGAACAGCUGCAGCCGCAGCCGCUCUUCCACGGCUGCCGCGUCGCCGCCCCCUUCUCCAUCUCUUCGCCGACUCUUUCUCCAUCCCCAUCCCCCAAUUGGUCAAACCCCCAGAUAGAAACCCAAAAUCUCUCUCUCAAGACCCCAAUUAGAAAACUACCCUCUGCCUCUUCCUCUCACUCAUCCGCCUGCCGCCACCGUUUACCAUAGCAGCGGCUUCGAUAGGGUUUGGUGAUUGGAGAAGGAGCAGCGGAAUGGGAUUUGGGGGAAAGCAGACGGGAGAGAGAGCUAGUGAUUGGUGGUUUGGGGAAAUUAGAUUAGAUU